GACGAACGCUGGCGGCAUGCCUAAUACAUGCAAGUCGAGCGAACAGAUGGAGUGCUUGCACUUCUGACGUUAGCGGCGAACGGGUGAGUAACACGUAAGGAAUCUACCUAUAAGCGGGGGAUAACAUUCGGAAACGGGUGCUAAUACCGCAUAAUAUCUUCUUCCGCAUGGAAGAAGAUUGAAAGACGGCUCUGCUGUCACUUAUAGAUGACCUUGCGGUGCAUUAGUUAGUUGGUGGGGUAACGGCCUACCAAGACGAUGAUGCAUAGCCGACCUGAGAGGGUAAUCGGCCACAUUGGGACUGAGACACGGCCCAAACUCCUACGGGAGGCAGCAGUAGGGAAUCUUCCGCAAUGGGCGAAAGCCUGACGGAGCAAUGCCGCGUGAGUGAAGAAGGCCUUCGGGUCGUAAAACUCUGUUAUAAGAGAAGAACAAAUUGUAGAGUAACUGCUACAGUCUUGACGGUAUCUUAUCAGAAAGCCACGGCUAACUACGUGCCAGCCGCCGCCGCGG
rnacentral:rRNA from 1 species